rnacentral:rRNA from 1 species
UACAGAGGUCUCAAGCGUUGUUCGGAUUCAUUGGGCGUAAAGGGUGCGUAGGCGGCGCGGUAAGUCGGGUGUGAAAUCUCGGAGCUUAACUCCGAAACUGCAUUCGAUACUACCGUGCUUGAGGACUGGAGAGGAGACUGGAAUUUACGGUGUAGCGGUGAAAUGCGUAGAUAUCGUAAGGAAGACCAGUGGCGAAGGCGGCUCACUGGACCGGAACUGACGCUGAGGCGCGAAAGCGUGGGGAGCGAACAGG